AAGAUCCACAGCCAAACACUGGGCUGAGCUCUGGAAGUCCAGUCAAAGAGAGAUUCCACACCCAAUCAAGAUUCUAAAAUAAAAACUUUGACCUGGUGAGAUGGUCCAUGCCUGCAGCGCCAGUGCCCCAGAGGUGAAGACAGGAGUUUGAUGUCAGCUGAUUUUGCACACUGAGUUCUGGGCCUGCAAGAUCUUCUUAUCAAGACAAAAGAGGAAGACACAUUUGGUGUAUGAAUACUGAGGACAUUGUAGUUCAUCAACUCACAGAUGACCGAGCUAACCUAGAGGGCAUGACGGAUUACCUUAGCUGACUGUGAUGGAUUGGUGGUUUCUGCAUUUUGCUCCUAAGAAGUCAUAGUUCUUAGAGUUCCCAUGUUCCGACAUUUCUUGCUUGUGCCGAAUUUCAUCAGCUGCAGGCCCACCAGAAACUGUGUGGCUAAUAAUAAUAAUAAAUUUAAUAAUUAAAUUUUAAUAAUAAAACAAAAGGCUAAUAAUUUCA